rnacentral:misc_RNA from 1 species
GUUUCAGAAGUUAUUGUUCAUGAGAUUACGAAGGUUGAGUUCCCCAUACAUGACACCAAUUAUGAUGCUCAAAACUUAUCCGUGGCCCCUGAACUUUUAGUUGAGCAUGUUUCAAUAGAUUCUGGUCCGUCCUCAAACAUUGUGCCGAUGGAGAAAGGAAUAGUUGGUUAUGUUAAGGAAGAUAAAGAUCGGCUGACAAGUCACGAGGAGG